AGUGAACGCUGGCGGUGGGCCUAACACAUGCAAGUCGAACGGCAGCACAGUAAGAGCUUGCUCUUACGGGUGGCGAGUGGCGGACGGGUGAGGAAUACAUCGGAAUCUACUUUUUCGUGGGGGAUAACGUAGGGAAACUUACGCUAAUACCACAUACGAUCUACGGGUGAAAGCAGUGGAUCUUCGCACCUUGCGCGAUUGAAUGAGCCGAUGUCGGAUUAGCUAGUUGGCGGGGUAAAGGCCCACCAAGGCGACGAUGCGUAGCUGGUCUGAGAGGAUGAUCAGCCACACUGGAACUGAGACACGGUCCAGACUCCUACGGGAGGCAGCAGUGGGGAAUAUUGGACAAUGGGCGCAAGCCUGACCCAGCAAGACCGCGUGGGUGAAGAAGGCCUUCGGGUCGUAAAGCCCUUUUGUUGGGAAAGAAAAGCAGCAGGUUAAUACCCCGCUGUUCUGACGGUACCCAAAGAAUAAGCACCGGCUAACUUCGUG
rnacentral:rRNA from 1 species